rnacentral:misc_RNA from 1 species
GAUGAAGAACGCAGCGAAAUGCGAUAAGUAAUGCGAAUUGCAGAAUUCCAGUGAGUCAUCGAAUCUUUGAACGCACAUUGCGCCCCCUGGUAUUCCGGGGGGCAUGCCUGUCCGAGCGUCAUUGCUGCCCUCAAGCACGGCUUGUGUGUUGGGCCCCGUCCUCCGAUCCCGGGGGACGGGCCCGAAAGGCAGCGGCGGCACCGCGUCCGGUCCUCGAGCGUAUGGGGCUUUGUCACCCGCUCUGUAGGCCCGGCCGGCGCUUGCCGAUCAACCCAAAUUUUUUAUCCAGGUUGACCUCGGAUCAGGUAGGGAUACCCGCUGAACUUAAGCAUAUCAAUAAGCGGAGGA